AACAUAGUACUAAACUUCCAAAUAGGUAGUUUAGUCAUAAGGGCUGUUUUUCUCCAAUGAUGGAUCAUUGAAAACGGUUAGAAACUGGCAUUUCUCAAUUUUCUCAAUUUUCCUUAUUUUAGCAUUUUUUUACCUUAUUUUUUGAAAAAAAUCAAAAAGAUACCAAAAAUUUUAUUUUCAUUAUUUUUUACACCAACAUAGUACUAGACUUCCAUAUAGGUAGUUUUGUCAUAAGUAUUGUUUUUCU
rnacentral:lncRNA from 1 species